GAUGAACGCUGGCGGCGUGCCUAAUACAUGCAAGUCGAGCGGACGGACGAGAAGCUUGCUUCUCUGAUGUUAGCGGCGGACGGGUGAGUAACACGUGGAGAACCUACCUAUAAGACUGGGAUAACUUCGGGAAACCGUAGCUAAUACCGGAUAAUAUUUUGAACCGCAUGGUUCAAAAGUGAAAGACGGUCUUGCUGUCACUUAUAGAUGGAUCCGCGCUGCAUUAGCUAGUUGGUAAGGUAACGGCUUACCAAGGCAACGAUGCAUAGCCGACCUGAGAGGGCGAUCUGCCGAACUGGAGCUUGGACCCGGUCCAGAGUGCUACGGCAGGCAGUGGUCGCGCAGCUGCCGCCAAGUGCGAAAGCCUGCCGGAGCAGCGCCGCGCGAGUUAUGACGGUCUCCGGCUCGGGAGCCUGGGUGACUAGGGAAGAACAUAUUUGCAAGUAGCUGUGAACAGCGAGACGGUACCUAAUCAGAAAGCCACGGCCAACUAUGUG
rnacentral:rRNA from 1 species